CAAAUUAACCCUCAACCAAUGGCCCCCACUGCAGCAAUGCUCACUCUCUCUCACCACCAUCCUCCUCCGCCCAUCUCCGGCCACCCGCCGCCACCACCAGCUUCCUCCGCCCCUCAAUUUUCAGCCUGGACACUGCUCCAACCACUCUCAGCUGCCUUUGCCAAACCCAAACUUCUCCCAAUUCCCCCUGCCAUUUCUGACCCUUCUUCUCAAUCUAAACCCUGCGUUUCAGAAGCAUUUGAAUCUGGCAACUUCUGGGGUUGGUAAUGGUAAUAACUAAUUAAUUACUUCACAUUUUUCAUUGCCUUUUUCUUCUUAUUUUUACCUGCAAAUUCAAUAUCUUCGAAUCUUCGGCCGGCUUAUACAUAUCUCGACUAAUCUCACAUCACAGUCCGUUUGGCCAUACUACAUUUUUGGUGUUAGAGAGAAUAUUAACUCUUAGUUAAGUGGCCACCGUAAUGGUUUUUAGCUGUAAAUUGUGUACAACUUAUUACAGGUAAUUCAGUUGGUUUCAUUUGUUUUUCUUUGUAUAUUUAUAUGUGAUGGUGGAUUUAUGUGAAUAAAACAAACCAUGUUUCUUAUUCAUCUAUAGAAGGUAGAUGCACGAAGCAAAUAGAAACUGAAAUUAAAUCAUUAAUUAUCAGCACAUGCAGAAGUUGUUUCCAAAUUUGUUAAUUGAAAACGGG
rnacentral:misc_RNA from 1 species